rnacentral:tRNA from 1 species
GGGGCCAUAGCUCAGCUGGGAGAGCGCAUGACUGGCAGUCAUGAGGUCAGGAGUUCGAUCCUCCUUGGCUCCA